UUCAGGUCCCGGUUCAGGCGCCAUUUUGCCAUGCUGGCUUCACGGGCGAGAGACAGACGACCAGGGAC
rnacentral:miRNA from 1 species